rfam:Fistulina hepatica ATCC 64428 unplaced genomic scaffold FISHEscaffold_48, whole genome shotgun sequence.
UCUCUUGUGCUCGGGCAUGUACAGUCGGCUGUGAGGUUUUUACCGAGCCACUGUCUUUUGCUGAUUGCAAAUUACCAAUCCUAAUCGUCUGUCGUCUUCGGACUUCAGCAAUUUUUGGAACUUCCAACUUUUUUGGUG